CCAUCCUGGGAGCUGUCAUCCCCACCUCUGCCUCCUGGGACCAGCUGUUCUCCAUCCUCCGCAACCCCUACCCCCACUCCCGAGACACUUUUGUUUCUCCAUCUGGAAGAGAGCUGUGGAUGCAGUGAGCCAACGGCAGACCCUCAACCAUGAUUCUCCUCCUAGCAUCUCCGAGGGCUCUCUCUCUGGACCAUCUCUCCUCCCUUGGACAUGAGCCUUCCCUGUCUUUGUUGGCUGAGCAGUCAGGGAAACCCAUUCUUUCAUAGGUGAUAAUAAUAAUAUAACACUGUCACAGCCUCACUCAGUUAUGUAUAUGUAAUUACAUAUCAUAUUUAAGAUCU